rnacentral:rRNA from 1 species
AAACCAACAGGGAUUGCCCCAGUAACGGCGAGUGAAGCGGCAAGAGCUCAAAUUUGAAAUCUGGCCUCCCCCGGGGGCCCGAGUUGUAAUUUGCAGAGGAUGCUUCGGGUGCGGCCGCCGUCUAAGUUCCUUGGAACAGGACGUCAGAGAGGGUGAGAAUCCCGUCUUGGGCGGGCGGUCCGCGCCAGUGUGAAGCUCCUUCGACGAGUCGAGUUGUUUGGGAAUGCAGCUCUAAGCGGGUGGUAAAUUUCAUCUAAAGCUAAAUAUUGGCCGGAGACCGAUAGCGCACAAGUAGAGUGAUCGAAAGGUUAAAAGCACCUUGAAAAGGGAGUUAAACAGCACGUGAAAUUGUUGAAAGGGAAGCGCUUGCGGCCAGACUCGGGGGCGGGGUUCAGCGGGUGCUCGUCGCCCGUGUAUUCCUCGUCUCCCGGGCCAGCAUCAGUUUCGACGGCCGGUCAAAGGCCCCCGGAAUGUGUCGUCUCUCGGGACGUCUUAUAGCCGGGGGUGCAAUGCGGCCUGUCGGGACUGAGGAACGCGCUCCGGCUCGGAUGCUGGCGUAAUGGCCGUAAGCGGC